AGGAAAGCGGGCGGCGGGGUGAAACCGACGGGAGGGCGGCUGGGGAGGAUCCCUGCGGCUGGGCGGUGGCCCCGAGGCUCGGAAUGUGAGCGGCAGAAGCCACCCCGCAGGUGCCCGCGAACCUGCAGUCGCGCAGCCCCGCGCAGGGACUGCCCGGCCCGCACCCCCAGGGCCAGACACCUGCCGCGGCUGAGCGGGCUGGCCGGCGCCUGGGCCCCACUGGCCUGCCCCUCCCGCUCCAGUGGGAGAUCAAGUGCGGGACAGCGGCGGCGCCCAGAGCCUGGUGUGUCUUCUGGACAGAAAAGAGCAGAGGGAGAGAGAAUCUGAGGUCGGCUCCAUGCCCAGUGUGUGAGCCCAAUGCCGGGCUCGAACUCAUGAUCCUGAGAGCAUGACAUGACCUGAAGUCAAGAGUCGGAAAUCAAGAGUGGUUUUGUUAAGAGAUUUGAGGGAUCUCCGCUCAUACACACCUUAUGCAAGGCCAGCUCCUUCUUUCCGGGAAACUCUGCCUCCUGUGGGACGCUCAUCUGAUCUUCAUGAAUGGACCAGGAACAUCAUGGCACGGGAUGGCCAGGGUUUCCUUGGGGGGGGGGGGUCGAAGAAUCAGAGUAGGGAAGGGAUUCUACACGGUCAAGCUAGAGAUGGACAACCAAGGUGGACAGCUGAUCUGAAAACAGGUGAGAAAUGACAGUGGCUUGGACAGCAUGUGACGAUGGCUUUGUGGACAAAUGAACAACACUAAGUUUAUCUAAGAGAUAGGAUCUGCAGAAGUUGCAAAGUAGAUGAUUGCACAAAUGAGAACAAUUUGAGAAUAAUCAAGAUAUUAUAAGUACGCAACACGCUGACAAGACAGACAGCAGUGAAUGUGGAGCAGAGUUCCAGGUUUUACAGCCUCGUAAAAUUCCCAAAGGAAAACUCGCAAAGAAAACCAGCCUCCAGUGACCAGGCUUCAUUUCCCUAAGGUAGAAAAAUGAAUUCACGAGGAGCAGUAAGUACUCAGCUGGCCUCUCCACAGUUGUCUUGACCUGACGGAGGCCACAGGCUUCAGGGAGCAUCUGGGAAGCAAGCGGGGAGAGCGAGCGGUUGGAAGAGAAAUCGUUGAUAAAGACGCUGAGGAGCUGCUUGUGGGCCUGGUCGUGCCCUCUGGGACCUGCUCCCCCUGAAGGAAAUGUUUGGCCAAACCAAACAGUUGCACAGCCUGUGAGGCCUCCAAUACUACAACAAAACCCCAAAGCCCACCCCAAGCGUUCUCCACAUGUACUUUUGCUGCCCUUGAUGAUAUCCUCAAGGUUCCUGGACUUUCAGUGUGCUCCUCCCCCAAACCUCAGGCUUUCCAGCCACCCCCCCCCCACCCCGUUUUGAAGGCCUCCAUCUAGGCACUACCACAGGGACCCACCGAACGAGGGGCACAAGCUCCCGAGAGGGAAGGGGGCUAGGAGAGGUCAUCAGGCCCGGCUUCUUCUUCCAAACUCCCCAGCUGAAUGAGUGACCCCUUCCUGGGGACACCGAGUGGCAGUGGCAGAGGGGAUGGAGAUGAGCCCCAGAAGUCCACUUCCCAGAGCUCCCCUCAAGAAGAGAGGAGGGAGCAUGUUCUUUAACCGUAUGGAAAAAAAGUUCAAAAACACUCUUAUUGGAAGGAUUUUCUUGUUAAUCAUGUCCCUUUCUUGGACUGCGUCCUGUCCCAGCACGUUCACGGGCCGGGUCCUGACAACAGCAGGGCAGAGACAGAAAACGUGGCUCGGGGCUGUCAUUGUGUAGGAAUGGGGAAGCUCUUCCUAGUAAAUCUAAGGAAAAGCAGGAACAGUGUGAGUCUGGAGGAGGCACCAUCAGAGAAGAAAAUACCCAGAACAUUGCUUUUCGGACAGCGCGUGGGGAAGAGCCAUCCUCUUCUUCCCCAACUGGAGGAGACACAUUUUUUAAUGAAUUUGGAAUGAAUUACUAGAACAAGGAAAUGAAGGAGACAUAUAAUACAUGGCCCUCAUUUUUUAAAUUAAUGGAUUCAAAUGACAUUAAGUGACAGUCAAAUUCCUUGGACAGCGUCUAGCUGCUGCUCUCUGCAUUUUCCCUGGCACAUAGCAGUGAGCGUCCGUCCACCCCCGCUGCCUGGUCCGGGAAGCAGGUGUAGUCCGGCCGGGCAGGGAGUCUGAGUCCACCUGUGGGCUGGCACCUGCCACCUGGGGCUGGCCCGGGGCCCUCCCGAGUGCACCCAGCACCCCCACUGCUUCUCUCGUUUCCCUUUUAUAAUCAUCAGAUUUCUUCUUUUCCAUUUUUAUUCCUUCCCUUUCCUCCCAGAUCCUCCCCCCCCCCAAAUGUAUCCACACAGUGAAUCCUCCAGUGAAUUCCUGAAUGACAAUCCCAGCUUCCAGACUUAAGGUCACCUGGUGUCCUUUCUGCUGUGUCCAGUCAGGUCAUCAGGACCUUUCCCGCUGAACCGAUCUCUCUGGGCUGCACUGCCCCUCCUCCCCCGGCAGCCACAGGACUGGAGGUCACUGUGGAGCAGCGUGUCCUCCAAGAAGAGGAUGGAAGGUUGGAGCAAGUCUGACUGUCACUGGGGAGGGACGGCAGGCACGGACAGUACAAUGUGUCUCUGUUCCCUGAGUCAUGACAAGGGGGACUUGGAAUUAAAUGCCCAA